UAAGCGGAGGAAAAGAAACUAACAAGGAUUCCCCUAGUAGCGGCGAGCGAAGCGGGAAGAGCUCAAAUUUAUAAUCUGGCACCUUCGGUGUCCGAGUUGUAAUCUCUAGAAGUGUUUUCCGCGUUGGACCGCACACAAGUCUGUUGGAAUACAGCGGCAUAGUGGUGAAACCCCCGUAUAUGGUGCGGACGCCCAGCGCUUUGUGAUACACUUUCAAUGAGUCGAGUUGUUUGGGAAUGCAGCUCAAAUUGGGUGGUAAAUUCCAUCUAAAGCUAAAUAUUGGCGAGAGACCGAUAGCGAACAAGUACCGUGAGGGAAAGAUGAAAAGCACUUUGGAAAGAGAGUUAACAGUACGUGAAAUUGUUGGAAGGGAAACGCUUGAAGUCAGACUUGCUUGCCGGAGCUUGCUUCGGUUUGCAGGCCAGCAUCAGUUUUCCGGGGUGGAUAAUGACGGUUUGAAGGUAGCAGUCUCGGCUGUGUUAUAGCUUUCCGUUGGAUACAUCCUGGGGGACUGAGGAACGCAGCGUGCUUUUUGCGAAAGACUCGUCUUUUUCACGCUUAGGAUGCUGGUGGAAUGGCUUUAAACGACCCGUCUUGAAACACG
rnacentral:rRNA from 3 species